rnacentral:rRNA from 1 species
UCAGCUUAACCUUAGAACUGCCGUUGAUACUGCUAGUCUUGAGUAUAGUUGAGGUAGCUGGAAUGAGUAGUGUAGCGGUGAAAUGCAUAGAUAUUACUCAGAACACCGAUUGCGAAGGCAGGUUACCAAGUUAUAACUGACGCUGAGGGACGAAAGCGUGGGGAGCGAACAGGAUUAGAUACCCUGGUAGUCCACGCCGUAAACGAUGCUAACUCGUUUUUGGGCUAUAUGGUUCAGAGACUAAGCGAAAGUGAUAAGUUAGCCACCUGGGGAGUACGACCGCAAGGUUGAAACUCAAAGGAAUUGACGGGGGCCCGCACAAGCGGUGGAUCAUGUGGUUUAAUUCGAUGAUACGCGAGGAACCUUACCAAGGCUUAAAUGGGAAUUGACAGCUGUAGAAAUACGGUUUUCUUCGGACGAUUUUCAAGGUGCUGCAUGGUUGUCGUCAGCUCGUGCCGUGAGGUGUUAGGUUAAGUCCUGCAACGAGCGCAACCCCUGUCACUAGUUGCCAUCAUUAAGUUGGGGACUCUAGUGAGACUGCCUACGCAAGUAGAGAGGAAGGUGGGGAUGACGUCAAAUCAUCACGGCCCUUACGCCUUGGGCCACACACGUGAUACAAUG